rnacentral:rRNA from 1 species
UGAGGAAUUUUGCGCAAUGGGAGCAAUCCUGACGCAGCAACGCCGCGUGGGUGAUGAAGGCCUUCGGGUCGUAAAGCCCUGUCAGGUGGGAAGAAUGUCCCGGAACUGAACAGGUUUCGGGAGUGACGGUACCAUCAGAGGAAGCACCGGCUAACUCCGUGCCAGCAGCCGCGGUAAUACGGAGGGUGCAAGCGUCAUUCGGAAUUACUGGGCGUAAAGCGCGUGUAGGCGGUCCUGCAAGUCUGAUGUGAAAGCCCCGGGCGUAACCCGGGAAGUGCAUUGGAGACUGCGGGACUUGAGUACUGGAGAGGAUGGGGGAAUUCCCGGUGUAGAGGUGAAAUUCGUAGAGAUCGGGAGGAAUAUCAGUGGCGAAGGCGCCCAUCUAGACGGUAACUGACGCUGAGACGCGAGAGCGUGGGGGGCAAACA